ensembl:lncRNA
GGGGUGUGGCUUGUGUGGGGAGGCACAGGCCACGCCCCUUUUGCGCUGUCCCCGCCCCCUUUGCAAGAUGGCCGCCCAUCCCUCGUGCCUGGCCCGGCUCUUCCUGGCCCCGGAGCCGCUGCAGCUGCUGCCAGUGGGAGGAGCCUGUCCCAGGUAAAAAAAAAAGGGGCGUGGCUUGGGUUUGGGGGCGGGGCUUAAUGUUUGGAAUCUUUUACCUUAUAAGGGAAGGAUUCAAGAUGGCUGCUGGGGGGGUGGGGCUAAUUCUAAACGCUUUUUUCUCUAUAAGGAAAAUUUUCAAGAUGGCUGCUAGGGGGUGGAGCUUGUUCUAAACCCUUUUUUUCC